rnacentral:lncRNA from 1 species
AAUACAGAAAAAUAAAAAAAAAAUUGUGAAUAAAGGAGUCAAGAAGAGGAUUGAAUUAGAGGGUUUUGGGUGUGAUUUGACUGUGUUUUCACUUGUUACCCAUUGCUCCUCUAUUCCUUUUGGUUUGUAGCUUCGCAUCCAUAUUUAUCCUCCCUUGUCCUUGGCCCCAUUACAUCCAUAAAAGACUUUUUGAUUUGAACAUGCAUAUGUGUUUGAGUAUUGAUAUUAGAGGCUUGCCAAGUCUGUUUGUGUUUGCUUUCUUGAGUGCAUUGAGUUGACAUUGUUUACCUUAGACACUUGAGAGAAACACUAAUAGUUCAUCUGUGAGGCUCUGUUGCUUCACCUCUUGAACUGAUUGACUGUUUUUCCAUGUUCUGAACUACUUGGAUGAUUUCUUGAGUAUCUACUUUCCUUGACUCUGUGUGGGAUUAUGUCCAUUUCCUUUCAUUGUCUAGAUUUCUUGAGAAUCGUGCAACUCUAUGUCUAUCCUUCUGAGUCUUAGUUUUCUGUAUGUUGAGUCUGUCACCUCCCUGAUGUCCUCUGAGUUGUUCCCUAAUUUGCGUCUUGAUUUUGUCCAAGAGUGCAAAAGACUAAGUGUGGUCUAUUUUGAUGAGUCGAUAUUUUAUUGACUGUAUUUAGUUUAUUGCACUUAAAUAAAUCAGGGAAUUGUGUUUAAUUGUCCGUUAUUUCCCCG